rnacentral:rRNA from 1 species
UGGGGAAUCUUCCGCAAUGGACGAAAGUCUGACGGAGCAACGCCGCGUGUAUGAUGAAGGUCUUCGGAUUGUAAAGUACUGUCAUUGGGGAAGAACGGUUUUCUUGAAAAGAUUGAGAAGACAUGACGGUACCCAAGGAGGAAGCCCCGGCUAACUACGUGCCAGCAGCCGCGGUAAUACGUAGGGGGCAAGCGUUGUCCGGAAAUUAUUGGGCGUAAAGGGCGCGUAGGCGGGCCUUUAAGUCCGGUGUGAAAGAUCAGGGCUCAACCCUGAGAGUGCAUCGGAAACUGGAGGCCUUGAGGACAGGAGAGGAAAGUGGAAUUCCACGUGUAGCGGUGAAAUGCGUAGAUAUGUGGAGGAACACCAGUGGCGAAGGCGACUUUCUGGACUGUAACUGACGCUGAGGCGCGAAAGCGUGGGGAGCAAACAGGAUUAGAUACCCUGGUAGUCCACGCCGUAAACGAUGAGUGCUAGGUGUAGAGGGUAUCGACCCCUUCUGUGCCGCAGUUAACACAAUAAGCACUCCCGCCUGGGGAGUACGGCC